AGUCAGUUUUUCAGUUUCCUCCUUUUUUUUUCUUCCUUUUUCUUUUCUUUUCUUUCUUUCUUUUGUAAGUUUGAGAUAGAGCCUCACUAUGUGACCCUGGCUAGCCUGAGAUUCACUCUGUAGACCAGGCUGACCUUGAACUCACAGACCCUCAUGCCUCUGCCUCCUAUGUGCUGGGACUACAGACAUGGGACACUAGCCCAGUGGAGCAUUCAGUUUCUUUCCUCCUGCCCUGGAGAGGCUAGAGCAGUGCUUCUCAGCCUGUGGUUGGGACUCCUUUGGGGGUGUCAAACAGCCCUUUUACAGGGAUUGUCUAAAACCAUUGGAAAACACAGAUAUUUACAUUUUGACUCAUAACAAUAGCAAAAUUACAGUAAUAAAAUAGCAAGAAAAUAAUGUUUGGUCGGUAGUCACCAGAACAUAAGGAACCAUAUUAAAGGCAGCAUCAGGAAGGUUGCGGUUGAAGCGCUGCUCUAGAGGCAGCCACACACGUAAAGCCUGCUGGAUGUGAUAGUCAGAAGGCCCUGCUCUGUUGUUACACGGCAGUGCAUGGCUGAGUAAAUAGAAACUGCAUCACACGGUAGGCCGCCUAGCUGCUCCCUUUACAAAGGUGCGUGCACAUGGAACCAUUGGUAAGGCGGUUUGACAUUACUGCAGCUCCUGGAAAUAUAUUAGCUGGGUUAGUGGCUCAUGCCUAUAAUCUCAGCCUUUGGGUGGCUGAGGCAGGGAGAUUGCUGCAAGUUUGAUGCCAGCCUGGGCUGCAAGUUUGAGGCUAGCUUGGGCUAUAGACCAAGACCCUGUCACAAAACGUUGCUGUGUUUACCAAACAGAAGCAUGAAAAAACAGUAUUCUGAGAGAACUUCAAGAAGAAGUAAAACAGGCUGAAUUUUGUACUGGACACUUGUGGGGAAAGACAGGGGUAUUUUAACGUCAGUUCUCCAUACCACACAUCGUAUAAUGGUUAAGCUAAUCAGUGCUUCAGGUUUAAUGAGCAGGUCAUCUCACUUGAAAUUUCCCAUGUUCAUAAGCUUAGCCUGUGCAUAGAGGCCAAAUGUGUGCAUCAAACAACUUGGACUUUUAGAGAUCAGACCUCUGGGUUUUGUUUUGUUUUUUUGAGACAGGGUUUCUCUGUGUAGCCCCGGCUGUCCUGGAACUCACUCUGUAGACCAGGCUGGUGGCCUCGAACUCAGAAAUCUGCCUGCCUCUGGUUUUAUACAUCCUCUUUUUUUUGUUUGUUUGUUUUUGAUUUUUUUCGAGACAGGGUUUCUCUGUAUAGCCCUUGCUGUCCCGGAACUCACAGGCUAGCCUUGAGCCUGCCUCUGCCUCCCGAGUGCUGGGAUUAAAGGCGUGCACCACCACACCCGGCCAUUGAGUCAUUUCUUAUACAAACUUUCUGUUUUUAGAGACAUGUUCCCACUAUGUAUCCCUGGCUGGCUUGUAACAAUAUGUAUAGACAAAGCUAGCCUCCAUUUUAGAUCCACUUCUCUCUUCUGCUCCACCUCCUGGCUGCUGGGGUCACUUGUUAGCUUCACUUUUUAAGUUUUUAGGCAGCGGUUUCACUACAUUGCCCAAGCUGGCCUUGACAAAACUGUAGCACCGGUCAACCAUAAACAUGUUACCCUGGCACUGCUUCCCCAGAGUCUGAGGUUAUAGUCUUACUCCUUUUAAUAUAAACGACACUUUAAGCUAGUGUAGAGUCCUAGCUACUCUAGAAGCUGAAGCACUGGAUCCAGGAGCUCACGGCUAACCUGGGGAACUGGGAGGCUUGGCCUCGAGGAAAAGAGCAAGCUCUGCGUAUUACCGCACAGGUCGCACUCAGAACUCAGGAAGUUGAAGUGGGAUGAUCUUGAGACUUUCUCAAGAAAGAAGAAUAUAAUAAACCAAAAAUGUUUAUAUAAGU
rnacentral:lncRNA from 1 species